GCUGGGUGUGGUGGCAUACACCUGUAGUCCCAGCUACAUGGGAGGCCAAGGUGGGUGGAUUGCUUGAGCCCAGGAGUUUGAGGCUGCAGUGAGGCAUGACUGCAUCACUGCACUCCAGCCUGGGCAACAGAGCAACACCCUGUCUUUU
ensembl:misc_RNA Metazoa_SRP Metazoan signal recognition particle RNA